rnacentral:rRNA from 1 species
GUGAUCCGGUGGUUCUGAAUGGAAGGGCCAUCGCUCAACGGAUAAAAGGUACUCCGGGGAUAACAGGCUGAUACCGCCCAAGAGUUCAUAUCGACGGCGGUGUUUGGCACCUCGAUGUCGGCUCAUCACAUCCUGGGGCUGAAGUAGGUCCCAAGGGUAUGGCUGUUCGCCAUUUAAAGUGGUACGCGAGCUGGGUUUAGAACGUCGUGAGACAGUUCGGUCCCUAUCUGCCGUGGGCGCUGGAGAAUUGAGGGGGGCUGCUCCUAGUACGAGAGGACCGGAGUGGACGCAUCACUGGUGUUCGGGUUGUCAUGCCAAUGGCACUGCCCGGUAGCUAAAUGCGGAAGAGAUAAGUGCUGAAAGCAUCUAAGCACGAAACUUGCCCGAGAUGAGUUCUCCCUGAGACUUUAAGUCUCCUGAAGGAACGUUAAAGACGAUGACGUUGAUAGGCCGGGUGUGUAAGCGCAGCGAUGCGUUGAGCUAACCGGUACUAAUGAACCGUGAGGCUUAACCUUACAACGCCGAAG